CAGGUGGACCAUUUGAUUUGGUCUUUAGAUUACACUUCAUUAUCUUAUCAGAUCAAAAAGAUUAUUUAUAGACAUUGGCAUCUUGUUUGUGAUAUUCCUGGUUGUAAAAAAAAACCCCAUGGUGGCCUUUAGAAAAACCAAGAGCUUAAGGAAUUUUCUGACUCAUUCAGAUUUUAUAGUAAGACCACCAUUGAGUAGUGCUGCACUAGGUUUCCAUGUGUGUGGGAAUUGCGCAGCUUGCUCUUUUUGUCUUCUGACUUCUGAUUAUUGGGACCCUAUUUUGAAGAAAAAUGUGAGUUUAAAAUUCUUUGCUAACUGUAAGACCAAAGGAACUGUUUAUGUUAUAGUUUGUCCGUGUGACUUGUGGUACAUUGGGAGCACUACUAGACCUGUUAAGACUCGUGUACUUGAGCAUCAAUCUAGACUCAAACACAGUAUAUUGGAUGCCCCUUUGGUGCCACAUUUCAUUGAGAAGUCUCAUUCACCUGAGGAUUUUAAGUUUUUUGUGUUGUUUAAAUUUAUUCCAAGGCCCUUUGAUAAACAAGAUAAACAGAGAUUUCUUCUCCAAAAAGAAUAAUUUUUUAUCCAUAGGUUUAACACAUGUAUACCCAAUGGGUUAAAUGUCAAUUGUGAUCUCUCCUGUUUCCUUUAAAGAUCUACACUGUAUAGACUAGGAUAAUCACCGCAUCUGUUUCAACUUUCUCAUCCAGUGGGUGAUUGAAUGAUGGCUUGUUGGUGAGAGUAUUUAACUCCCGUUUCAAGCACCAUUCAUCAAGGAACUUAGCAUAUUGAAGCAGGCACAUUGGUGAGGUGCUGCCUUUUAGGACAAGGCUUUCCCAGAUUGUAGAUUUUUGGACUUCUGAUGAAGAUUCUUACGAAACAGUUUAUUACCUAGGAUGUCUGUCAGCUCUACUUUCAAGAUCACUGUGCUUGGACUGUGAUUCCAGCGUCAUCUUCAAGAUUCUCAUGCUUCAAAUUCCAGCUUCAUUUGCCAGACUUUUGUGCUCAGCCUUUGGCGAAGAGUUGCUGGGGCGUAGUGCUACACUUUGCUUGGUUUUUUACCACAUUUCCACAUAGCAGCACCACCCCUGUGCAUGACGAUUUUCAGUGACUGUGGCUUAUUGUACUUAUUAUAUUGUAUGGAGUGUAUUCUGCCCUUACUACUGUAUUUAUCAUACUUAUCACAGGGGUGCCUGUGAUUUUUGGCCAUUACACUUUCAUACCUUGCACAUUGUGCUCAGUUUUCUAGUGCCUUGGUGUUUUCACAUGGGUUACUGUUCAUAGUUUUUGCCUGUUCACCUGUGCUUCCCCCCCCCCCCCCCGUUUUCCGUGGAUUUCUAAGGCAGAAGGUACAAAUGAUGCGGGUAAGAAUGGGCAGCAGCACUUCUUAAGUUUCUGCAUUCACAAAAAUGGAGGAAACUGGAAGCGCUGCUUGCACUACCACCACCUGUUCUUUCCAGUGUCAAGGCUGUCUUAGGAGCCUGCAGCAGCCCCAGGGCACAACAUCAUGGCUCUAUAAUUCUGAGCAUCAUGUGGGCCACUAUACUUCUCUCUUACAUAUUAACUUCAUGCAAUAAUGGUCACUGACUGACAUCCUAACAAAGUACUGCUUGCAAAAGCACGUCACACUUGCACAACAAGCUGGCUCCAGCUAGUUGUACUACAUCAGGAACUUGUGUUCUAUCCAGACUACUGCUGCACAUCUGCAGCAAGCCUUAUUUGUUUUACUGAGAAAUGUUGCACAAAGGCACCUUUGGACAGUUCAGCAAAUCCUCACUUCUCAGUGCAACUACAUUAGCUUCUUGCAGUGGCAUACCUUUCUUCAUUACCCAAACCCUUUGUUUGGAUGCCAGUCACUCCAGUAGAUCUUUGACACUGCCUUUUACCAUUUUUCUCUCUAUCUCCAAAAGUGUGUUUGUGUGUGUGCGCGCGUGCAUGUAUACUUAAUGCAAUGUGAUACCACCUUGUGGUUCUCAGCACAUCUACAGCAGUUAAUGAGGAAACAAUAACAUGUAUGCAUUUCAGUUUUAUUAUUUCUUUCCCCAACCCUUGCAUUUUAAAAACACUGCCAGAAGUUCAUAGCUCUUUGCAUUAAAAAAUACUGCUUGGUGAGUA